rnacentral:rRNA from 1 species
AACGAACGCUGGCGGCAUGCCUAACACAUGCAAGUCGAACGAAGGCUUCGGCCUUAGUGGCGCACGGGUGCGUAACGCGUGGGAACCUGCCCCUCGGUUCGGAAUAACAGUUAGAAAUGACUGCUAAUACCGGAUGAUGACUUCGGUCCAAAGAUUUAUCGCCGAGGGAUGGGCCCGCGUAGGAUUAGCUUGUUGGUGGGGUAAAGGGCCUACCAAGGCGACGAUCCUUAGCUGGUCUGAGAGGAUGAUCAGCCACACUGGGACUGAGACACGGCCCAGACUCCUACGGGAGGCAGCAGUGGGG